CAGUCGAGGGGUAUAGUUCUUCGGCAGUAGAGACCGGCGCACGGGUGCGUAACGCGGAUGCAAUCUACCUUGUGGAGAGGGAUAGCCCAGAGAAAUUUGGAUUAAUACCUCAUAGUAUAGCAGUUUCGCAUGAAACCACUAUUAAAGUCACAACGGCAAAAGAUGAGCAUGCGUCCCAUUAGCUAGUUGGUAAGGUAACGGCUUACCAAGGCUACGAUGGGUAGGGGUCCUGAGAGGGAGAUCCCCCACACUGGUACUGAGACACGGACCAGACUCCUACGGGAGGCAGCAGUGAGGAAUAUUGGACAAUGGGCGCAAGUCUGAUCCAGCCAUGCCGCGUGCAGGAUGACGGUCCUAUGGAUUGUAAACUGCUUUUGUACAGGAAGAAACACUCCCUCGUGAGGGAGCUUGACGGUACUGUAAGAAUAAGGAUCGGCUAACUCCGUGCCAGCAGCCGCGGUAAUACGGAGGAUCCAAGCGUUAUCCGGAAUCAUUGGGUUUAAAGGGUCCGUAGGCGGUUUAGUAAGUCAGUGGUGAAAGCCCAUCGCUCAACGGUGGAACGGCCAUUGAUACUGCUAGACUUGAAUUAUUAGGAAGUAACUAGAAUAUGUAGUGUAGCGGUGAAAUGCUUAGAGAUUACAUGGAAUACCAAUUGCGAAGGCAGGUUACUACUAAUGGAUUGACGC
rnacentral:rRNA from 1 species